UCGUCCCUACGGGGGGCAGCAGUGGGGAAUAUUGCACAAUGGGGGAAACCCUGAUGCAGCAACGCCGCGUGAAGGAAGACGGUUUUCGGAUUGUAAACUUCUGUCAGCAGGGAAGAACGGUCACUGUGCUAAUCAGCAGUGAAUUGACGGUACCUGCAAAGGAAGCACCGGCUAACUCCGUGCCAGCAGCCGCGGUAAUACGGAGGGUGCGAGCGUUAAUCGGAAUUACUGGGCGUAAAGCGCUCGUAGGCGGUAUGUCAAGUCAAGGGUGAAAUCCCCGCGCUCAACGUGGGAACUGCCUUUGA
rnacentral:rRNA from 1 species